ACUAGAUCGAGUCUGGAUGAUUGAUCCACCGAUCACCAGCAGCUGCACCCGUGGUAAUAAAUAAAUCUAAGAAAACUGCAGCAGUCGUUCGUUUGUGCCAACUGCGUCACCGAGCGCGUCGUGUUCUUCUACUCCGCCGACGGCGCCAGGCUCUUCUUCGAGUGUGACGGCGUCGUGCACGGGUUAGCGCACUCGCGAGCCUCCACCUAUGUGCCCCGCUUUGCGACGCCUGUGACGCCGAACGCGCCACUCUCUGCUGCCAAAUCGGCGCCCACCGGGCCAUGCUCUGCGCCGGUCGCCGUGCGCUGCUGGACCGCGGCGGUGGAGCCUCCCCCGUGGAUGCUUACACCAGCGGCUACGCGCCCGCCGAGAUCGUCUGCAUCCUCUCCGUCGACGCGCCGUCGUCGCAUGAGGACUUCGAUGUCUGGCUCGCCGACAACCUCCCCCAAAUCCUACACGAGGUUCAGGUAUAACAUCUACUUGGGUAAAUUUCUAAAUUGCACUUCUUUUUUGCAACUGUAUAUGCAAUUGAAGGAGACUCUUCUUGAUGAUCUUGCGUGCCAAAUCUUACAUGGACAGUUUGAUUGUGUGAUCCAGCGACAAAAUUCAUUGAGUAGUGCUGCUAUAUAUCAGUCAAGGGAAUGGUAUAGAGAAGAGAGGAUGAUGAUAAUACAAAGUGGGUGAGAUAGUAUGAGUGAUUAGUGAAGGGGCAUAGGCUUGGUACUACACCAUCGUACAAACAAGGAAGUGGUUAGUGUGCUAUCUUUGAUGUAAAAGAGGAAGAUUUCUUUCCUGACUCAUCUAAUGGUGGAUCGAUGAUUUAAGAAGCAUAUUCAGUUCAUCUUUCAAUUUUUUGGUGCCAAGCUUGAUCUUUAUCCAACUGACUGACUGACUAAAAGUACCUUCUAAUCACUAUUGAACGCAUAUAUUAGUUAGUUUGACUGUAUACACCACAUAAAGAGAAAAAAAAUGAAUUCUAAAAAAGUUAGGCAUAGAUACUACAGAACCAGUGGACCCUCAAGAAACAAAAGGCACACCUGAAGGAUUUUUUCUUAAGAAAUGUAUUAAUUUGACUAUUUGAGUAUGCAAAAUGUGCAAUUUCAAUCUUUCCUUUUCAAGGAGAACAGGGGACUGCUUCAUACUCAAUAUGGAUGGAGGCUAAUUAUUGAUCUUCCAAGUUAAAAAUCUGAAAAUAACUUCAUUUAGUAAUGGAUAUAUGGUCAAGAAAGGAUGCCUUUCCUUAAAGAUACUGAACAAAAUCAUGUUCGUGUAUGUCCGGCUGACAGAUGAAUCAAUCUCGUUUUAAGUUUCAAACCAGCAACCUUUGUGUACGUACAUGUGUUAUCAAGGAUGCACGGAUCCAUUGGCCUGCGUACCACACAUCCCCUCACUAAUUCUAUCAGUGUCAUUCUUAACAAGGUAAGUAUGAUUGCCUAAUCUCUGAUUUUCUUAAUUGAUCUUUGGUCCUUGAUCCCUAAUGUCGUUAUAUUUUAUUGAUUUUAUAAAUGAUCUCAAACAGGAACAUACCAUUUUUUAGGCUACAGUUCCUAUAACUUGCCUUGUCAAUUUAAUAAAAUUACAUGUGUGAUGGAGGUUGUAACUUAUUACGGUUUACAUUGUCAAAAUUCUUCAAACCCUAUGCCGAUCCUCACUAUCUUUGAAACAAUCUGAUUUCUGUGUCAUUGCUAAACAUAUGUUUGGUGUGCUGGAUUUUCUGAUGUAAGAGGAAGCUAUUCGACAAUCCUGCUCAAGUUGGUAUAGAUUAGAUCGAUUUUAUUCAGUAAAUAUUUAUGCUUGAUAGAUGAAAGCCUCCCUCUUCUGCCCUUCUUUUCUCCAUCCUCUGUAGGUCGCGAGCACAUGUGAAUCGUUGUCGUCAAGAGCAUGCUUGUGACAUCAUUACUAUACGUGAUGCAGCGCAAAAGGACGUUGUCAGGAGUUAAGUGUUCAAGCGCAAUCUCUAGCCAAGUUCCCUUUGUUGUUGUGUUGAAUUUUGGGGAAAGGCGGCCAAGCAGCUCGUGGCAUCUGUGUCGCGCCUGCUCCGCCGCUACCUUGACUCGCCGACAACGUCGCCCGUUGGGCUGCAGGGGUGCAAGACGACCGUGGGGCCCAUUGCAUGGGUGCUGAGUAUGCUUGAUUUCCAUGUCGGAGACGAAGGCCCUAGAGCUUGGUGGCUUAUGUGUGAUGUUUUUUUCCUCCCAUUGCAACACAUCGAUUGAUUUAUUCAUGCAUCCGUCGAUUUACUCUGAAUUGUUUUCAGUCGUCAAACAUUAACUGGAUUGACUCGUGGAUAUGCAUUGUGACAAGUCGUGUGAGAUGAAGGUGGUGAACCAUCUCAAUAUGAAGCCAAGUAUGGUGGAUUUGCCAUGGAUGAUGGUAGACCGAUAGGCGGCUGGGUGCAUGAAUAAUUGUCAAGGUGGCCGAAGCUAGCGCUAUUUUUGUUGGACUGAAGGAAUUGUAUAAGGUAUUUCGAGGCUCCCUGGUGGUGGAGAUCGACUACGCAGUGGGGAAAUGAGCUAGGGGUUGAUUUUGUAAGCAGAUCAUUGUCCUACUCAAUUAUUGUUGAUAUUAAAUCUGCCGAAGCUCCCAGAGACCUUAUGGUUGCGGAUGGUGUCGCGGACCAAUUAUAUGCUCUGCUCUGGAAGGAAAAUGAUGCAGCCUUGACGUCGGCCUAAGUCUUGAUGUUUGAUUGGUGAAGCUACAUUCAGCAAAGAAGAUAUGUUUAUUUGUGGGAAUUAAUUUUCGCAGGGAAUAUCCAUCCAUCCAUGCACAAGACUGACAAUAUCAUUCUUUAACAAUGUGCACUUGGCCUCUACUCUGUCGUGCGUAGAGAUAAGGCUGGGACAUCUAUUGUUUUUUGUACAAUCUUACACUGUAAAAUAAUUUUUGGUACCAAACAUGUUAACAAGGGCGCAAGUUUUUUCAUACAUUA